UACGAAGGUGGCAAGCGUUGUUCGGAUUUACUGGGCGUAAAGGGAGCGUAGGUGGUUAGGUAAGCCCUCCGGGAAAUCUUCAGGCUUAACCUGAAAAGGUCGGGGGGGACUGCCUAGCUAGAGGGCGGGAGAGGAGCGCGGAAUUCCCGGUGUAGCGGUGAAAUGCGUAGAUAUCAGGAGGAACACCUGUGGCGAAAGCGGCUCACUGGACCAUAACUGACGCUGAUGCACGAAAGCUAGGGGAGCAAACAGG
rnacentral:rRNA from 1 species